ACAAACUUGGUCAUUUAGAGGAAGUAAAAGUCGUAACAAGGUUUCCGUAGGUGAACCUGCGGAAGGAUCAUUAUUGAAAUGACUCGAAGUGGACUGUUGCUGGCCUUUCACAAGGCAUGUGCACGUCUUCUUUAGAUCUAUUCAUCCACCUGUGCACUUUUUGUAGAAGUUCUCUAGGUGAAGUGAAGUGUGGAGUGAACACUAAUACUGAUGAAGUGAAGUAAGCGCAACGGAUCUCUUGGCUCUCGCAUCGAUGAAGAACGCAGC
rnacentral:misc_RNA from 1 species